rnacentral:rRNA from 1 species
UAUAUAGUCGGACUAACGAGCUAACAGGGGGGGACCGUUCGGGCACUCUUGCCAUCAGAUGUGUCCCGACGGACUGUGGAUUAGCUAGUAGGUGGGGUAACGGCACCUAGGCGACGAUCCCUAGGCGUGGUCUGAGAGGUAUGACACGCCACACGUGGUNACUGAGACACGGUCCAGACUCCUACGGGAGGCAGCAGUGGGGAAUAUUGCAGCAAUGGGCGCAAGGCUGAUGCAGCCAUGCCGCGUGUAUGAAGAAGGCCUUCUGGGUUUGGUGAAAGUUAGUCUUUUCAGACGGCCGGGAGGAAAAGUCGUCUCGUUGGUGUUAAUAAGCCGANNCUGGCAUAUUGGAUCGGUUUACCCCCGUCAAGAAAUAAGGCAUCAGGCUUAAUCCCGUGCCACAGGCCUGCGGGUUAAUACGNGACGGGGGUGGGUAAGCCGCUUGAAAUCCGGGAAAGUGUACCUUGGGAGGCGGUUAAAACGGUUGCCACGCGCCAAGGCCUGGGUUCCUUGGUUCCCAAUUGCGUGGAAUGGUUUCGUAAUAUUCCCCUGGGGUCCCAAAACAUNUGGGGGACCUUGGGAUUUCCUGAGAAACUUUGCGUA